UACUGAGAAGCACAAAACUGGGCACAGUACUCCAGAUGUAGCUUCAUCAGUGCCAGGGAAACAGCUGAAGGGCCCAGCCCAGGGCAGAACAUUAAGUGCAACCAGCUGCAUUCCCUGGUUCAGGGAGCUCUGCCACAGGCAUCAGAACUGCUGGACUGAUAUUGUCAAACAAAGUGAAGACAUUGGGUGGAAACCAAGACACCAAAGAUGAAGUCAAUAUUAAACUACAUAAUGUGUAAAACAAGCAUGCAAACAGAAGAGGUUUUUUGAAGACCAUAAGAAAACCUGACAUUUGCCUCAGACCUGAAAGACACACAGCUGCUGUUUGUCCCCUCUCCUCCAUGCUGUUUUGACAGAAGACUGUGCCAUGAAUUGGGACAGGGAACUGGUAUGGAAGAAAACGAGAAAACACUCUGAAACUAAAAAGUGGAAAUGUCCACAGAUGCUUGAUGCCAUGACCACUUCCCCAGGGAGCCUGUUCCAGUGACAAACCACCCUCUCAGAGAAGAACAUUUUACUAGUGUUCAAUCUGAACCUCCCCUGAUGCAGCUUCAUUCCAUUCCACACGUCACCGGAGAGAGAUCAGCACCCAUUCUUCACUGCCCACCUUGAGGAAGUUGCAGGCUGCAAUGUUAAAACUGAACCACAUUGCUGUUCAUAAAAUGACAAGUUUAGCCAUUUA